UUUGUUGGCUGUGCUGUGAGGACGGAGUCAGUACUGCGAGGAGCUGCCCAUGAGAAAUCAUGAAGAAGGUAUGGAACUUUUGCAAAUAAGAUGACAACAAGUAACAAAGAAAAAGGCACAAGUAGUGGAACAGAAAGUAAUCUACCUGGGAUACGAAGUCACUGCUGGGCAACAGACUUUAGGGCAGGCUCGCAAAAACCAUAUGCCAAACCCUGAAACUCCAGACAGCAAAGGAACUCCGAGCCUUCUAAAGCAUGGCAGGGUGGUGCUGGCUGUGGUUUAUAAUUACGGACUGUACAUCAUAUAGAGAUCUCCAGUGGACAAAGGAAGCCACGUGAGCCUUUCACCAGCUAAAGAGUGCCCUCAUGUCAGCUCCAGCUUUGAGACUCCCAGAUCUUCUUUUCUUAGUGGAAAUCAAGGAGAAGCAGUACACCAUGGUUGCAUGGAGACCCUUGAAGCUACUUACUCCAGCUGCCCAGACUUGAAGAACACUCCUUUGGACAAUGCAGAGACUUAGUUCACUGACGGGAGCAGCUACGUUGCCAGUGUCAAGCGAUGUGCUGGGUACACAGUGACUACAUGCAGAGAGGUAAUAGAAUUCAGACCCUUACCAACAGACACAUCUACGCAGAAGGCCGAGAUGAUUGCACUGACCCGUGCCUUGGAAAUGGCAAAAGGAAAGAGAAUAAACAUCUAUACAGACUUGAGGUACGCAUUCGGAUGCAUGCACAUGGAGCUAUCUGGACAGAGAGGGGACUGCUGACCUCACAAGGAAAGGAGAGAUAAUCUGGCUGCUGGAAGUAGUUCAGCUGCCUGAAAAGGUAGCAACUAUGCAUAUUAAGGCACACCAGAGAGCGAGCUCAGAAUUAGAGGAAGGAAAUGAGCUGGUGGAUGGAGAGGCAAAGAAAGUAGCAAAAGUCUCUUACAGAAAAGACUUUGGAACCACAGUGGGAGAGACCAUUCCAGGUGCUUCUCACCACCUUCACCACAAUCAAGAUCAAGGAGCAGAAUGCCUGGAUCCACCACUCUUGAGUGAAGAAGGCCCCAGAAGCCCCUUGGAGAGUAACACCAGGAAACAAUGAACUGAGACUAAAGCUUACUCAGGCAAAAUGAGUAUAUUGCGGCUGGGGGUAGUUUGUAAUUUUAUUUACAGAAUUGUUUUGUAUGUAAUUAUAACUGGAGCCUUAGAAUUCGAGAGUACCUCUAUCCAAAGCAAUGCUGAAUGGCCUUGGUCCCAAGCUUUUAAUCAGUAUGCUGGAUCCAUGGGAGAACCUUCUGAGAUAAAAGAUUUAAACCUGUGCAGUGUGGCAAUCCAUGGGAAUCAGGUAUAUGAGGAGCAGGAGUAGCAGGAACUGUGGACACUUCAAGGGAUCAGAGAAGAAGAAAUCAAGGUAAUGUGCCGAGUGGUCAAUGGGAUUGCUCAUGAGAGAUCAGAUGCAAUUAGUGUAUUAACCUCUCCUGUAUACAAACACCAGGAAGAAUGUGGAUGAACAACAACUGUUGUUCAAUCCAGAAUGGUCUCUCAAACGUGUUGAAUUGCUAAUGCAAAUUAACAACUCAAAAAUCUAACCAGCCUGCUCCUCUUUGCUAAGAAAUCCUUUGAGAGCUGGACAAUGUAGUUACAAAGACAAGUAUACUUCAGAAGCAGAAGAAGAAAAGAUCUAACUGGAGUAUUAAAGACAGGAUUGGGAGUUUUAAAUGGAAUUGAUUCAGAAAUACUGAUGAAGAAGCUGGCCACUACAGCAGGUGGCCUAGCAAAAUUGAAGCAGCCUUUACAGUCAUAUCUAUUGGCAUUAGGAUCUGGUCAGUGGCAGAUUUCAAAAGUAUUGCCAAAGUGGGAAAAGACUGGGGGCCAACACCACAAGCUAAUACUAGAAGCGCUUAGUACAAUUCAAGGUAAUGUGUUUUUAGCUUUCAGUUGUAUACAAGCACAGUUAUGGAUGUAGGCAGCAGCAGCUUUUAUCAUAUGGGAAGGGGGUGAAGGUAAUUUUCCAGAAAUUCAGAAGGUUGUCUGGGAUAAUGCGAUUUAUUUUGAAAGGAAGUUUCAAUCCUGCUGGACUAUGGUAAAUUUCACCUAUGAUCCUGCUUCUAAUGUGGCCACUGCCUUUGUGCUUACCAUACGUAAUAAUGCCACUCUUUAUAUUAUCCACCCCAUCGUUGCACUAGGAUUAAAUAAUGAAAAAACGGUGCUCUACCCUUAAGAACAUAGGGUGUGGGCACGAAAGGUGAAUGAAAAGUGGCAAACAGUAAACUUAGAAUCUUGUAUUACUAGGGAACAACUAGGACUCAUUUUUGAAGGCAACACUAUUAAUGCUCAAGAUGUGUGUCCAGACACUGAACAAAGUAUUUGCCACUUUGAGGUUCAUCCGGUCACUGAUCAGAAAACUGUGCUCGUAUAUACUAGUAAAGGUUCUGUGUGCUUGAGAACUGUUUGUGCUAUUGUAUAAAUUCAUAACAACUAUGUUAUUUUGUCUAGUAGAAAUCAUUCUAACGUUCGUAUUUGUAGUUUUGUUAACCUCCUUAUUAAAUGUACAUGGUAAAGCAUUAAGACACGUAUUAUUGUAGGGAUUUGCAUUAAGUAAAAGAGUAUACUUAUGUUCUAGGGAAGGAGGGAAAUGAGACAGAGCGGAAAUUUUCCAGCGUAGAAAUCCAUUUUGAUUUAGGUGAAAUGUACAUAUUUGCGUUAAGCUUUGAGUAGCCUGCGAACAUAGCUGUUUAGGCUGACUGCCUGUUCUCACAAAAACCUAUGCUUGGAAAAACUGCUUCAGCAGAAUGAAAAGAGAUAAGGGGGGAGGAUGGGGACAGACAGAAAGGAUUCUAUGGACGGCAGGGCAUCACGAAGCAGGUAUUCUUUCUGAUAAAGAAGAAUUAGCAGUAAAUGUCAUGUGAAAUCAGUAGAAGGAAUAUGUAUGUAUCUAUUCUGAAAUUGCAUGCGUAUCUAUUUG